GUCCUUUUCCAUCUUCUUUUAUUUAAACUUUUCUUGGGAACUUCCACAGGCUGAUAAGGUGAUCGCAAUAUUGAAGGAAGAGAAGACGGGGGACAUUCGCGAUAGGGACAUCUCACAGCAAGAACUUAUUCUUCUGAGAAGGAGAGCUGCUUCCAAGGUUCAGGCUGGCUUCCCCACCUUCUUUGUGGUCUUCAUCUUGUUCGUAGGAAUUGCAAUUGGAUAUCUUCUACGGCCAUAAAGUUAUGCGAAAUGUAAACAGAGCACCACCACACUGCUUUGUCCAGAACCUGCAGUGCUGCCAUUUUUGAGUUUGAGCAUCAUCUUCUUCAUAUUAUAGCUUCGUUUGGGAUGGUUUUUUUACUGCUUUUUGAAGCAGCUUUUUAGUACUAAAAAGCUGCUUUAAGAAGCAGUAAAAAGCCGUCCCAAACGAAACCUAUAUUUAGUAAAGUGCAUCUGCCUGAGUUUUUAUUUCUGCUUUACUUUCACAGUUAUACUUAAACCGGAUCAAACACAUACAUGUGUACCAUACAUCUUUGUUUUUGUAAAGGAUAUGUUCAGUACUC